AGAGUUUGAUCAUGGCUCAGGAUGAACGUUGGCUGUGUGCCUUAGGUAUGCAAGUCGAACGAUCCUUUUGAGAAUUCCUGAAACUUCGGUUGAUGGUUUUUUCUUUAGGGUAGUGGCAAACGGGUGAGUAAUACAUAGAUAACUUACCUUGAAGCCGGGAAUAGCUCGUCGAAAGACGGGGUAAUAUCCGAUGGUCUCUAUUCACUUCGUGUGUUUUAGAGUAAAGAUUUAUCGUUUCAAGAGAGGUCUAUGUCCUAUCAGCUUGUUGGUGAGGUAAUAGCUCACCAAGGCUAAGACGGGUAGCUGGUGUGAGAGCACGGUCAGCCACCGCGGAACUGGGACACGGUCCGCACUCCUACGGGAGGCAGCAAUUAGGAAUCUUGCGCAAUGGGGGCAACCCUGACGCAGCGACACAGCGUGGAGGAUGAAGGUCUUCGGAUUGUAAACUCCUUUUAUAUGGGAAGAAUAGAUGACUGUACCAUAUGAAUAAGUACCUGCUAACUACGUGCCAGAAGCAUCGGUGAAGCGUAGGGUACGAACGUUAUCCGGAUUUACUGGGCGUAUAGAGAUGCGUAGGCGGUUUGAUAAUUCUUAAGUUAAAGACC
rnacentral:rRNA from 1 species